ensembl:snRNA U6 U6 spliceosomal RNA
GAGAGAGAACACAUACACUAACAUUGGAAGCAUACAGAGAUUAGCAUGUCCUUGCUCAAGGAAAACAUGCAAAUUUGUGAAGCGUUCCAGUUUUUA